GACGGAGGAGGCUAGCGUUGUUCGGAAUUACUGGGCGUAAAGCGCGCGCAGGCGGCUUCACAAGUCAGGGGUGAAAGCCCGGGGCUCAACCUCGGAACGGCCCUUGAGACUGUGAGGCUAGAGACCGAGAGAGGAGAGUGGAAUUCCCAGUGUAGAGGUGAAAUUCGUAGAUAUUGGGAAGAACACCGGUGGCGAAGGCGGCUCUCUGGCUCGGCCCUGACGCUCAUGCGCGAAAGCGUGGGGAGCAAACAGGAUUAGAAACCCCCGUAGUCC
rnacentral:rRNA from 1 species